UAGGGAAUCUUCCGCAAUGGGCGAAAGCCUGACGGAGCAACGCCGCGUGAGUGAUGAAGGUCUUCGGAUCGUAAAACUCUGUUAUUAGGGAAGAACAAAUGUGUAAGUAACUAUGCACGUCUUGACGGUACCUAAUCAGAAAGCCACGGCUAACUACGUGCCAGCAGCCGCGGUAAUACGUAGGUGGCAAGCGUUAUCCGGAAUUAUUGGGCGUAAAGCGCGCGUAGGCGGUUUUUUAAGUCUGAUGUGAAAGCCCACGGCUCAACCGUGGAAGGUCAUUGGAAACUGGAAAACUUGAGUGCAGAAGAGGAAAGUGGAAUUCCAUGUGUAGCGAUGAAAUGCGCAGGGAUAUGGAGGAACACCAGUGGCGAAGGCGACUUUCUGGUCUGUAACUGACGCUGAUGUGCGAAAGCGUGGGGAUCAAACAGG
rnacentral:rRNA from 1 species